rnacentral:rRNA from 1 species
CGGUAAUUCCAGCUCCAAUAGCGUAUACUAAAGUUGUUGCAGUUAAAAAGCUCGUAGUUGGAUUUCUGCGGGGACGGAGCGGCCGGACGCAACUUGCGUCUCGAGCUAGCGCUUUCCCCGCAUCCUGCCGCGAACCGUGCUACCAUUAGCUUGGUGGCGCUGGGGAUCGGCUCGAUUACUUUGAGAAAAAUAGAGUGUUCAAAGCAGGCCACACGCCUUGAAUAAGUUAGCAUGGAAUAAUGACUAAGGACUUCGGUUCUAUUUUGUUGGUGUUCGGGACUGAAGUAAUGAUUGAUAGGGACAGUUGGGGCGGUCUGUAUUCCAAAGCGAGAGGUGAAAUUCUUAGACCUUCGGAAGACAAACAGCUGCGAAAGCGUUCCGCAAGGAUGUUCCCUUUGAUCAAGAACGAAAGUUGGGGGAUCGAAGACGAUCAGAUACCGUCGUAGUCUCAACUAUAAACUAUACCAGCUAGGGAUCGGUCAACGUUUAAUCAUUCGACUUGAUCGGCACCUUAUGAGAAAUCAAAGCAUCUGGGUUCCGGGGGGAGUAUGGUCGCAAGGCUGAAACUUAAAGGAAUUGACGGAAGGGCACCACCAGCCGUGGAGCCUGUGGCUUAAUUUGACUCAACACGGGAAAACUUACCAGGUCCAGACAUAGUAAGGAUUGACAGAUUGAUAGCUCUUUCUUGAUUCUGUGGGUGGUGGUGCAUGGCCGUUCUUAGUUGGUGGAGUGAUUUGUCUGGUUAAUUCCGUUAACGAACGAGACCCCAGCCUGCUAAAUAGCGCGGUUGAGCUUUGCUCGAUGCGAGCUUCUUAGAGGGACUAUGAUGCGCGAUAGCACAUGGAAGUUUGGGGCAAUAACAGGUCUGUGAUGCCCUUAGAUGUUCUGGGCCGCACACGGGCUACACUGGCGCCUGCAACGAGCAUAUCAGCUGGCCUGAGAGGGUCUUGGCUAAUCUUUUGAACCGGCGCCGUGCUUGGGAUUGACCAUUGCAAUUGUUGGUCAUGCAACGAGGAAUGCCUUGUAAACGCGAGUCAUCAGCUCGCAUUGAAUACGUCCCUGCCCCUUGUACACACCGCCC